rnacentral:rRNA from 1 species
AGCUGCAGAAGAAGCACCGGCUAACUCCGUGCCAGCAGCCGCGGUAAUACGGAGGGUGCGAGCGUUAAUCGGAAUUACUGGGCGUAAAGCGCAUGCAGGUGGUUUGUUAAGUCAGAUGUGAAAGCCCGGGGCUCAACCUCGGAAUUGCAUUUGAAACUGGCAAACUAGAGUACUGUAGAGGGGGUAGGAAUUUCAGGUGUAGCGGUGAAAUGCGUAGAGAUCUGAAGGAAUACCGGUGGCGAAGGCGGCCCCCUGGACAGAUACUGACACUCAGAUGCGAAAGCGUGGGGAGCAAACAGGAUUAGAUACCCUCGGUAG